rnacentral:rRNA from 1 species
GAAGAAGGCCUUCGGGUUGUAAAGCACUUUUGUCCGGAAAGAAAUCCUGAGGGCUAAUAUCCUUCGGGGAUGACGGUACCGGAAGAAUAAGCACCGGCUAACUACGUGCCAGCAGCCGCGGUAAUACGUAGGGUGCGAGCGUUAAUCGGAAUUACUGGGCGUAAAGCGUGCGCAGGCGGUUUGUUAAGACCGAUGUGAAAUCCCCGGGCUCAACCUGGGAACUGCAUUGGUGACUGGCAAGCUAGAGUAUGGCAGAGGGGGGUAGAAUUCCACGUGUAGCAGUGAAAUGCGUAGAGAUGUGGAGGAAUACCGAUGGCGAAGCAGCCCCCUGGGCCAAUACUGACGCUCAUGCACGAAAGCGUGGGGAGCAAACAGGAUUAGAUACCCUGGUAGUCCACGCCCUAAACGAUGUCAACUAGUUGUUGGGGAUUCAUUUCCUUAGUAACGUAGCUUACGCGUGAAGUUGACCGCCUGGGGAGUACGGUCGCAAGAUUAAAACUCAAAGGAAUUGACGGGGACCCGCACAAGCGGUGGAUGAUGUGGAUUAAUUCGAUGCAACGCGAAAAACCUUACCUACCCUUGACAUGGUCGGAACCUUGGAGAGAUCUCGAGGGUGCUCGAAAGAGAAC